GUAUUUACUACAGCAUUAGGUUGUUGUCUUUAAAGAAAACUUAGGUCUGAACUAGUUUGGAUGAAGCCGUCCAAACUAUCUGAUGCAGCGCAAUAUCCACAUGACACAUUGAUGCAGGACAGAAGCUGGAAGCAGGGGCGGAUCCAUUCACAGACUAGGCAAGCCCGUCUGAGAUUUUGAAGCCCCAAAAAAAAAAAAUAGAUGUAUGGGUUUUUUUUUUUUUUUUUUUUUUUUUUUUUUUUUUUUUUUUAAUAGGGGUUUGUGUUUGUCGAGACAAAGCCCAGUCCCCUGAGUCACUCUCUGUCUCUCUCGGUCUCAUCGAGACAUCGCUAUUCGCUACGACGCAGUCGACGACUCGAGUCACUCGACGCUACGGAGACCGGAGUCUCACUCAUCGAGACUAGGGCACUAGGCGACGGCCGACAAACUCUCACUCAGUCACUCUAUCCGGACUCCGGCUACCGACGAUGAGUCAUCGAGAAUAGGCGACGGACUCUCACUCAGUCACUCUCUCCCACUUCCUCCUCCUCUCGCUGCCUGCGGCUCAGCCGGCUCUCCCGACUCCUAGUCCACUCAUCGACUACGGAUCUACGAUUCUACGGCCUAUUCGAAGUUUCACCACUAGACUUCGUCGUCUCCAUUCUCCAACUCUCCAUCUCCGACUACACGUCUACACCAGGAUGGAAGUACCUCUUGUAUUGCAUUGCACGUUUAUUUGUUGUUGAUUUUGCUUUUUAGUUUUGUAUAGAUAUACAUUUGAGGGGUAAGGCUCACUACGUCCCCCCUGACUAGGUGUACAUUUUUUUUUAAAUUAAUAAAAUUCUCUCACACCGUUGAGAUUC